UACGUAGGGUGCAAGCGUUGUCCGGAAUUAUUGGGCGUAAAGAGCUCGUAGGCGGUUUGUCGCGUCAGCUGUGAAAACUCGAGGCUCAACCUCGAGACGUCGGUUGAAACCGUACGGCUAGAGUCCGGAAGAGGAGAGUGGAAUUCCCGGUGUAGCGGUGAAAUGCGCAGAUAUCGGGAAGAACACCCGUGGCGAAGGCGGCUCUCUGGGCAUGUCCUGACGCUGAGGAGCGAAAGUGUGGGGAGCGAACAGG
rnacentral:rRNA from 1 species